GGAAUGACCGUACAGUCAGACAAAAGUCACGAUGGAGUCAGUCACUCUCCAGAGUGACUUUGUGGUUCUGGACACCAGGUACAUGAGGUAGUCAGUCACUCUCCAGGGUGACUUUGUGGUUCUGGUCACCAGGUACAUGAGGUAGUCAGUCACUAUCCAGGGUGACUUUGUGGUUCUGGUCACCAGGUACAUGAGGUAGUCAGUCACUAUCCAGGGUGACUUUGUGGUUCUGGUCACCAGGUACAUGAGGUAGUCAGUCACUCUCCAGGGUGACUGUGGUUCUGGUCACCAGGUACAUGAGGUAGUCAGUCACUCUCCAGAGUGGCUUUGUGGUUCUGGACACCAGGUACAUGAGGUAGUCAGUCACUCUCCAGGGUGACUUUGUGGUUCUGGUCACCAGGUACAUGAGGUAGUCAGUCACUAUCCAGGGUGACUUUGUGGUUCUGGUCACCAGGUACAUGAGGUAGUCAGUCACUAUCCAGGGUGACUUUGUGGUUCUGGUCACCAGGUACAUGAGGUAGUCAGUCACUAUCCAGGGUGACUUUGUGGUUCUGGUCACCAGGUACAUGAGGUAGUCAGUCACUCUCCAGAGUGACUUUGUGGUUCUGGUCACCAGGUACAUGAGGUAGUCAGUCACUCUCCAGGGUGACUGUGGUUCUGGACACCAGGUACAUGAGGUAGUCAGUCACUCUCCAGAGUGACUUUGUGGUUCUGGACGCUAGUCAGUCCCUCUCCAGAGUGACUGUGGUUCUGGUCACCAGGUACAUGAGGUAGUCAGUCACUCUCCAGGGUGACUGUGGUUCUGGUCACCAGGUACAUGAGGUAGUCAGUCACUAUCCAGGGUGACUUUGUGGUUCUGGUCACCAGGUACAUGAGGUAGUCAGUCACUCUCCAGGGUGACUGUGGUUCUGGACACCAGGUACAUGAGGUAGUCAGUCACUCUCCAGAGUGACUUUGUGGUUCUGGUCACCAGGUACAUGAGGUAGUCAGUCACUCUCCAGAGUGACUUUGUGGUUCUGGUCACCAGGUACAUGAGGUAGUCAGUCACUCUCCAGGGUGACUGUGGUUCUGGACACCAGGUACAUGAGGUAGUCAGUCACUCUCCAGAGUGACUUUGUGGUUCUGGACACCAGGUACAUGAGGUAGUCAGUCACUCUCCAGGGUGACUUUGUGGUUCUGGUCACCAGGUACAUGAGGUAGUCAGUCACUCUCCAGGGUGACUUUGUGGUUCUGGUCACCAGGUACAUGAGGUAGUCAGUCACUCUCCAGAGUGACUUUGUGGUUCUGGUCACCAGGUACAUGAGGUAGUCAGUCACUCUCCAGGGUGACUUUGUGGUUCUGGUCACCAGGUACAUGAGGUAGUCAGUCACUCUCCAGAGUGACUUUGUGGUUCUGGUCACCAGGUACAUGAGGUAGUCAGUCACUCUCCAGGGUGACUGUGGUUCUGGACACCAGGUACAUGAGGUAGUCAGUCACUCUCCAGAGUGACUUUGUGGUUCUGGACACCAGGUACAUGAGGUAGUCAGUCACUCUCCAGGGUGACUUUGUGGUUCUGGUCACCAGGUACAUGAGGUAGUCAGUCACUAUCCAGGGUGACUUUGUGGUUCUGGUCACCAGGUACAUGAGGUAGUCAGUCACUCUCCAGGGUGACUGUGGUUCUGGACACCAGGUACAUGAGGUAGUCAGUCACUCUCCAGAGUGACUUUGUGGUUCUGGUCACCAGGUACAUGAGGUAGUCAGUCACUCUCCAGGGUGACUGUGGUUCUGGACACCAGGUACAUGAGGUAGUCAGUCACUCUCCAGAUUGACUGUGGUUCUGGUCACCAGGUACAUGAGGUAGUCAGUCACUCUCCAGGGUGACUGUGGUUCUGGUGACUGUGGUUCUGGACACCAGGUAUGUUACUGCUGUGUGAAAGAGUAUAAAACAGUGUUGUGUUCAGGUCUGUUGGAGGAGUUCAGUAACUGGUUGACCAGGAGUCC